AAAAUUUCCAGGAACCACGAGACAUUGCCAAUAAAUAAACCAUAGGAAAGCUUAGGGUAAUUUUUUUCCAACGCCUUUUUUCUUUUCUUUUUUUAUAAUUACAAAAAUCUUAUGCCUUUUCCGAAAAAAGCUACGCUUUUGAUAAAAAUUCUUAAAUAAGUACUUUUAAGGCAAACUUUUGCAAAAACGGGAAAAGAACAAUAAAUUUUUUAAUCAUUUUCUUGUCGUUACCUUAUUAAAGAUUUAUGGAGUUUCUCAAUGGCCCAUCGAUGGUAUCAUGGUGCCAUCAUCUUUUGACAAUGCAAGAAAAAUGAAUGUGUUUCGCAAUUGGGAAUCUUUUCAGUUCCAUUGUUCUGCAACUUUCGAGAACAAGAUCCGCAGGUGCAUCCAUUCUUCUUCAUGCCUGCAAAUCGAUCUUGCAGAUGUCCAGCAACAGAUCUUCUGAGUUCAAGUAUGUUUCGAGAACGAGAUCCGCAGGUGCAUCCAUUCUUCUUCAUGCCUGCAGAUCGAUCUUGCAGAUGUCCAGCAACAGAUCUUCUGAGUUCAAGAUCGUGAGCUUUCAUGCUCGUGGGCACAAACCAAAACAUGAAAAACUUGUUGCAGGAAGAACUCAUGUAGUGAAGGAGGACACUGCAGAUUCCACAAGAAAGCCAUUCAUACAAGGAACAUCUCAUGUACCACUGCCUUAUGACAAUUAGAAACAGCCCUGCUUCUAAAAGUUUAAAAGCAGCUUCUUGAAGAGUCAAGGAAUUGACAAGGAAACUCCAUAUUCAGCCAUGCCCAAUGCUUAACAUGAAUUCCACGGUUUCCAAACUGCCUAAGGACCACUCUUUGGACAAGUUGCAUUCCCUCUCUUAGAGUGAUCAGCCGGUUAGUAUUGUCUUGUGGAACCACGGCUACUGUUUCAGUGACCAUUUAACGCAGAACAGUUCUAUUGUAAUUUUUAGCAAGGAUACAGUGGAUUGCAGGAAAUUGGUAUGGUAAGGGACGAUUGAGAACUCUGACACCAAUGCU